GGGAGGUUCAAGAUUGAGGGAGUUCUCGGCAGCUGAGGUUCAAGAGUAGGUCAGAGUGGAGCGGAUAAUUAAAUGCAAGACUAUUUAUUUUUCUCGUUGCUUUAAGUAUUCGAAUAUAGGUGUGGCUUGACAUUCUAUAAAUCAACUUUUCAUUAAUUAUAUCUUCUGUUACGAACACUUAUAAGACUUAUCCUUGUUGGUGAACCUAGAUAUCUUCCUUAUGUUUCCAGUUUCCAGUUAGCAUAUAUAUAGUAACGUAUGCAACAUGUCCUAAUCAGUGCAGUUUCCAGUUAGCGACAUUCGUACUUAAGUUCUCUGUACUCUUUCUCUUCCAAUGUUGCUCUUUUUUGCACCGUUUCUGGGUCAUCUUAUAAACUUUUAUGUAAGGGCUCCAUUUAGGUAGACUUGUGUGGUAGUGUUUCCUUGUUCUUCCUGUUCAGCGUUUGUGUUUCUUGGUGUUGUGGUGUUUCCUUGUUCUUCCUGUUCAGCGUUUGUGUUCCUUGGUGUUGUAGAGAAUGAGGUGAUUGAGUUCAGGUUAAAGUCCGUCUAUGUAUGUAAGGGCUCCAUUUAGGUAGACUUGUGUGGUAGUGUUUCCUUGUUCUUCCUGUUCAGCGUUUGGUAGUGUUUCCUUGUUCUUCCUGUUCAGCGUUUGUGUUUCUUGGUGUUGUAGAGAAUGAGGUGAUUGGGUUCAGGUUAAAGUCCGUCUAUGUAGGUAAGGGCUCCAUUUAGGUAGACUUGUGUGGUAGUGUUUCCUUGUUCUUCCUGUUCAGCGUUUGUGUUUCUUGGUGUUGUGGUGUUUCCUUGUUCUUCCUGUUCAGCGUUUAUGUGUUCCUUGGUGUUG